UACAGAGGUCCCAAGCGUUGUUCGGAUUCAUUGGGCGUAAAGGGUGCGUAGGCGGCGCGGUAAGUCGGGUGUGAAAUCUCGGAGCUUAACUCCGAAACUGCAUUCGAUACUGCCGUGCUUGAGGACUGGAGAGGAGACUGGAAUUUACGGUGUAGCGGUGAAAUGCGUAGAUAUCGUAAGGAAGACCAGUGGCGAAGGCGGGUCUCUGGACAGUUCCUGACGCUGAGGCACGAAGGCCAGGGGAGCGAACAGG
rnacentral:rRNA from 1 species